rnacentral:rRNA from 1 species
GAACGUACGCUGGCGGCACGCCUAACACAUGCAAGUCGAACGAAGUAGCAAUACUUAGUGGCAGACGGGUGAGUAAUAUGUAGGUAUCUGCCCUUUGGCCUGGAAUAACACGAGGAAACUUGUGCUAAUACCGGAUAAGUCUUUACGGAGAAAGCUUUAUGCACCAUUGGAUGAGCCUGCACUUGAUUAGUUUGUUGGUAGGGUAAUGGCCUACCAAGACUUUGAUCAAUAGCUGAUUUGAGAGGAUGAUCAGCCACAUUGGGACUGAGACACGGCCCAAACUCCUACGGGAGGCAGCAGUGGGGAAUCUUGCACAAUGGAGGAAACUCUGAUGCAGCGAUGCCGCGUGAGUGAAGAAGGCCUUUGGGUUGUAAAGCUCUUUCGUCGGGGAAGAAAAUGACUGUACCCGAAUAAGAAGGUCCGGCUAACUUCGUGCCAGCAGCCGCGGUAAUACGAAGGGACCUAGCGUAGUUCGGAAUUACUGGGCUUAAAGAGUUCGUAGGUGGUUGAAAAAGUUGGUGGUGAAAUCCCAGAGCUUAACUCUGGAACUGCCAUCAAAACUUUUCAGCUAGAGUUUGAUAGAGGAAAGCAGAAUUUCUAGUGUAGAGGUGAAAUUCGUAGAUAUUAGAAAGAAUACCAAUUGCGAAGGCAGCUUUCUGGAUCAUUACUGACACUGAGGAACGAAAGCAUGGGUAGCGAAGAGGAUUAGAUACCCUCGUAGUCCAUGCCGUAAACGAUGUGUGUUAGACGUUGGAAAUUUAUUUUCAGUGUCGCAGCGAAAGCGAUAAACACACCGCCUGGGGAGUACGACCGCAAGGUUAAAACUCAAAUGAAUUGACGGGGACCCGCACAAGUAGUGGAGCAUGUGGUUUAAUUCGAAGAUACGCGUAGAACCUUACCAACACUUGACAUGUUCGUCGCGACUCUAAGAGAUUAGAGUUUUCGGUUCGGCCGGACGAAACACAGGUGCUGCAUGGCUGUCGUCAGCUCGUGUCGUGAGAUGUUGGGUUAAGUCCCGCAACGAGCGCAACCCUCACUUUUAGUUGCCAUCAUUUAGUUGGGCACUCUGAAAGAACUGCCAGUGAUAAGCUGGAGGAAGGUGGGGAUGACGUCAAGUCCUCAUGGCCCUUACGUGUUGGGCUACACACGUGCUACAAUGGUAUCUACAACAGGAAGCAAGACGGCGACGUCAAGCAAAUCCUUAAAAGAUACCUCAGUUCGGAUUGCACUCUGCAACUCGAGUGCAUGAAGCUGGAAUUACUAGUAAUCGUGGAUCAGCGUGCCACGGUGAAUGCGUUCCCGGGUCUUGUACUCACCGCCCGUCAA